rnacentral:rRNA from 1 species
UCUAGAGAUUUGGCGGACGGGUGAGUAACACGUGGGUAACCUGCCCAUAAGACUGGGAUAACUCCGGGAAACCGGGGCUAAUACCGGAUAACAUUUUGAACUGCAUGGUUCGAAAUUGAAAGGCGGCUUCGGCUGUCACUUAUGGAUGGACCCGCGUCGCAUUAGCUAGUUGGUGAGGUAACGGCUCACCAAGGCAACGAUGCGUAGCCGACCUGAGAGGGUGAUCGGCCACACUGGGACUGAGACACGGCCCAGACUCCUACGGGAGGCAGCAGUAGGGAAUCUUCCGCAAUGGACGAAAGUCUGACGGAGCAACGCCGCGUGAGUGAUGAAGGCUUUCGGGUCGUAAAACUCUGUUGUUAGGGAAGAACAAGUGCUAGUUGAAUAAGCUGGCACCUUGACGGUACCUAACCAGAAAGCCACGGCUAACUACGUGCCAGCAGCCGCGGUAAUCGUCGAC